UUUAUUCUGGGUGUAACAUCAUAAACAGUUAUUCACAGACUCAGGAGCAAGUAUAAUUUUCAAGUUUUUCUUCAACAGAGCAACUUUGUCAGCGGGGAUGGAGAUACUUUGACUCCAGUUUGUACUUCCUCUCUACUGAGAAGAAAACCUGGGAGGAGAGCAGACAGGACUGUCUGGAAAGAGGAGCAGACCUGGUGAUCAUAAAGAGCACUGAGGAACAGACAUUUCUCUUCAAUCUCCAACUGAGAGCCUGGAUUGGUCUGACUGACUCUGUUUCUGAGGGGACCUGGAAGUGGGUGGACGGCACAUCAUUGACCAAAGGGUACUGGGGGGCAGGACAGCCUGAUGAUGGUGGUCAGUUCUCUGGGCAGGAGGACUGUGUUGAGAUAUACUAUGGACAAGAUGACGCUGUAAAGACAUGGAAUGAUGACAAAUGUUACAAAAAUCAUAACUGGAUCUGUGGGAAAGUGGUGUAAGAAUAACACACAGUAACAGACUUCUCUUCUUCAUUAUUUCCUUGGUCUUUUCUUUCAAUUUUCCUUUUCUAUGGUGGAGGGUUAACGCACUGUUUGUUUUAGCGGUACCCACUGUUUAUUAUUUUCAAAGUUAGGGAGGAAGAGGACAAAGGUUUAGUUUCCUGGGGUUUGAACGGUGUGGUGUGCGUGAUGGCUCCGAAAACUAGCGUGGAGGAGACGCUGUCGUUACGGCAUGGAUUCAGGUUGUUCCUGAGAAUGGAGUUAAGGUGGAGGAGGUUCUGCUUGCGUUUGGCGAACAGGUAGGAGCUGAAUUUAUACAUUCCGCAUCAAUAAUGAACAAAGCUGUGGUUGUGUUUAUGAAAAGAGCAAAUUUGUUGGGUAAGCUCAUUGCUAGUGGAAUAUUUGUAAGCAGUGUGUUGGUGGCAAUUUCUCCUCUUUUUGCUCAGGUUUCUAGAAUGUUUUGGGAAGGUGGGGGGCAGUGAAGAGAGGAGUAUGAGUCUCUGAGUCAAUGUUGGGAUGUGGUAAAAGUCCAAAUUCAGUUUUUUUGUCAACAGUAUACAGCUCUCUCAUCCUCAGAAGCUAGGAGAGCAUUGGGGGAACUCGAGUGUAGUAUUAGUGAGAUGGAGGUAGAGCUGGUGGGGCAAGGCAAUGUAGGCCUCCAGGCUAAU